rnacentral:rRNA from 1 species
UGGGGAAUAUUGGACAAUGGGCGCAAGCCUGAUCCAGCCAUGCCGCGUGAGUGAUGAAGGUCUUAGGAUUGUAAAGCUCUUUCACCGGUGAAGAUAAUGACGGUAACCGGAGAAGAAGCCCCGGCUAACUUCGUGCCAGCAGCCGCGGUAAUACGAAGGGGGCUAGCGUUGUUCGGAUUUACUGGGCGUAAAGCGCACGUAGGCGGACUUUUAAGUCAGGGGUGAAAUCCCGGGGCUCAACCCCGGAACUGCCUUUGAUACUGGAAGUCUUGAGUUCGAGAGAGGUGAGUGGAAUUGCGAGUGUAGAGGUGAAAUUCGUAGAUAUUCGCAGGAACACCAGUGGCGAAGGCGGCUCACUGGCUCGAUACUGACGCUGAGGUGCGAAAGCGUGGGGAGCAAACA